rnacentral:rRNA from 1 species
GACGAACGCUGGCGGCGUGCUUAACACAUGCAAGUCGAACGGAAAGGCCCUGCUUUUGUGGGGUGCUCGAGUGGCGAACGGGUGAGUAACACGUGAGUAAACUGCCCUUGACUUUGGGAUAACUUCAGGAAAAUGGGGCUAAUACCGGAUAGGAGCUCCUGCUGCACGGGGGGGGUUGGAAAGUGUCGGCGGUUGGGGAUGGACUCGCGGCUUAUCCGCUUGUUGGUGGGGUAGUGGCUUACCAAGGCUUUGACGGGUAGCCGGCCUGAGAGGGUGACCGGCCACAUUGGGACUGAGAUACGGCCCAGACUCCUACGGGAGGCAGCAGUGGGGAAUAUUGCACAAUGGGCGGAAGCCUGAUGCAGCAACGCCGCGUGCGGGAUGACGGCCUUCGGGUUGUAAACCGCUUUCGCCUGUGACGAAGCGUGAGUGACGGUAAUGGGUAAAGAAGCACCGGCUAACUACGUG